AUCAUUUAUGUAUAAGUAUAAAAUGUUAUUAUUGUAAUAUUUCAUAAAAGAAUUAUUAUACUUACAUGUUUCAUAAGUAACUCGUCGUAUUAAGAUUGAUAGGCGAUAGCUAUAGUCAAAUUAAGGUUAACGAUAAGAAAAAUAGCAUAAGCGCUACAGAGACAAAUAUCUUUCAAAUCAACGCUUAAUCUCUUAAACCACUUAUCAAUAAUUCGGGCCUUAAACAUUGAACAUUUUUGAGCAUAUUAUUUUUCUUUAAAUGGAAUAAAUGGUAUAAGAGCGUUUCCGGACAUAGCAUUGGAAUGUAAUGCUACCGUUAGCGUUGGUGUAAACACGUGCCGACUAAAAAAACUAGAAAAAGGUAUAAAAUUGUAUCAUGCUUUUGGACCACAUCCAAAACGGUGUGAUGUGUCGUUGGAGACAGUAUUCGUACAUGCAGACAGAAAUGUAUUCCCGAGAAAUAAUAAAUCGACAUCAAUUGGCGGCCAACAAGGGGAUGGUUUAUUUGGCUCUAGUCAACCGUGUCGGUAAUUUCACGCUACAGGCAAAAAACUUCAUCAUUAGCAGAGUGGCGCAGUGGAAGCGUGCUGGGCCCAUAACCCAGAGGUCCGUGGAUCGAAACCACGCUCUGCUAAACGUUAAUUUUUUAUGUGUGGCUGAAUAAAGUACAGUGGAUACGUAGGUGACUACAUUCAUGUGAUAAUAUACAAAUUGAAUGUUUUUUUAAA